rnacentral:rRNA from 1 species
UACGUAGGGGGCAAGCGUUGUCCGGAAUCAUUGGGCGUAAAGCGCGUGUAGGCGGCUCGGUAAGUCCGCUCUGAAAGUCCAGGGCUCAACCCUGGGAUGCGGGUGGAUACUGCCGGGCUCGAGUCCGGAAGAGGCGAGUGGAAUUCCCGGUGUAGCGGUGAAGUGCGCAGAUAUCGGGAGGAACACCAAUGGCGAAGGCAGCUCGCUGGGACGUGACUGACGCUGAGACGCGAAAGCGUGGGGAGCAAACAGG